rnacentral:rRNA from 1 species
CGCGUAGGUGGUAGUGCAAGUCUGAGGUGGAAUCCCAGGGCUUAACCCUGGAACUGCCUUGGAAACUGCAUUACUUGAGUCAGUGAGGGGAGGGUAGAAUUCCUGGUGUAGCGGUGAAAUGCGUAGAUAUCAGGAGGAAGGCCGGUGGCGAAGGCGGCCCUCUGGCGCUGAACUGACACUGAGGCGCGAAAGCGUGGGGAGCAAACAGGAUUAGAUACCCUGGUAGUCCACGCCCUAAACGGUGGGUACUAGGUGUAGGGCUCGUAAGGGUUCUGUGCCGAAGCGAAAGCAUUAAGUACCCCGCCUGGGGAGUACGGCCGCGAAGGUUGAA